rnacentral:rRNA from 1 species
GAUUAACGCUGGCGGUAUGCCUAACACAUGCAAGUCGAACGGAAUACUCGAAAAGAGAAUCUCACACUAGUGAGAGGUUCUCCAACCGAGUAUUUAGUGGCGGACGGGUGAGUAACACGUUGGAACCUGCCCCGAAGUGGGGAAUAACUGCUCGAAAGAGUAGCUAAUACCCCAUAGUAUCCGGUUUAUCCGGAUUAAAGAUUUAUCGCUUCGGGAGGGGCCUGCGUCUGAUUAGCUUGUUGGUGGGGUAAAAGCUCACCAAGGCGACGAUCAGUAGCUGGUUCGAGAGGAUGACCAGCCACACUGGGACUGAGAUACGGCCCAGACUCCUACGGGAGGCAGCAGUGAGGAAUCUUCCACAAUGGACGAAAGUCUGAUGGAGCAAUACCGCGUGCAGGACGACGCUUUUCGGAGUGUAAACUGCUUUUGUCGUCGAAGAUUAUGACUGUAGACGAAGAAUAAGGACCGGCUAACUACGUGCCAGCAGCCGCGGUAAUUGCGACGA